UUCCCGAUAUUUUCAAUGCAUUCGUCGCCGCCGCACCACGAUACUCGGCGGCAUCCACAUCUAGUGGUGGUGGAUCUACAUGCAAGGAGCAUGCGCACUACCACUGGAUGUGGAUGCUGGAUGAGUUGGGCAACCUCGGCCGCUCCAGUACCAACUGCCCGACCAGGUGUUGCUAACCAUAUUCGGCUACUUGCUGUCGGUUUCAGGGCAUCAGCUCUGUCGUCGCCGCCGCACCACGAUCAUUCGGCGGCAUCCACAUCUAGUGGUGGUGGAUCUACAUGCAAGGCGCAUGCGCACUACCACUGGAUGUGGAUGCUGGAUGAGUUGGGCAACCUCGGCCGCUCCAGUACCAACUGCCCGACCAGGUGUUGCUAACCAUAUUCGGCUACUUGCUGUCGGUUUCAGGGCAUCAGCUCUGUUGCUUGGUAUGGAUUGUAAGACACAGAAGAAGACGCAUUUAGAUGUUUUUGGAUCUUGAAUCUUGAUGCUCACAGAAAAGCAAGUCAACCAGACAGGCUCUGAAAAUUGAUGGAAUGGAACAAAUUAUGUGGACAAGACACUAGAAAAAUUCUACUCGGUCGGUUUUGAAAUCAUACCUCAAGAAACUUGCGGGA
rnacentral:misc_RNA from 1 species